rnacentral:rRNA from 1 species
UACGUAGGGGGCUAGCGUUGUCCGGAUUUAUUGGGCGUAAAGAGCGUGUAGGCGGCCAGGUAGGUCCGGUGUGAAAACUCGAGGCUUAACCUCGAGAUGUCAUCGGAAACCAUUUGGCUAGAGUCCGGAAGAGGAAAGUGGAAUUCCUGGUGUAGCGGUGAAAUGCGCAGAUAUCAGGAAGAACACCAAUGGCGAAAGCAGCUCUCUGGGACGGUACUGACGCUGAGACGCGAAAGCGUGGGGAGCGAACAGG